AACACAGGCUGGCUGUGAAGAUGAACAUUAAUCCAUGCCUGGUGCUUUGUGAGCACUCACUGAGUAUUAGCCUUGAUGCAGACCCACCGGUUUCUUCUUCUGCCACUGGGCCCUGCCCCGGAGCUCCCAGGGAGGUGGUGGCGAUGCAGAGCGAUGUGGGUCAGGGACGCCCCAUGCAGUCCAACUGGAGGGCUCCCAUGCAUGUGUGCACAUCAGGGGCGGUAAGGAAGGGCUGGCCGGGGUGUGGGAGGAGGCGACACAAGAUGGGAGGUGGCCCUGUCUCUUGGGAGUAAAGGCAGAAAGAGGUGGAGGCAGCUCAGGGCUUGGAGGACAGGGGUCCGGGCUCCUUGGCCGUGUCCCUGCUGUCUCUCGCUGUGGGUAUUCACCAAACCUCUCCCAUCCUCGGUUUUCACAUCUGCUGCAUGCAGGUCCUCAUGGUUCUCAAGUGAGGCAGGUGGUGAGCCCAUCAGGCCAGUGCCCAGGGCUUAUUCUGGGGACAGCUCCUGGAGAUGAAGGGCUGCCUCCCUAAGGACUCCUGCCCUGCCCUGCCCUGCCCUGGGUGCAAGGGGUUCCACCUGCUGCCCCUCCCCCACUCCCCAGCUCGCCUCAGGCGGAUAGUUCCCCUCUCACUCCAAAUAAGAGCCACAAUGCUGACAGUGGCCCCCAAGGCCCUGCCCAGCGGUCCCCAGCUUCCUCUAGCUACAUCUCCUGGCCCUCCCCUUCACCCACUCCUGUGGGCACCUCGAGCGCGCUUCAGCCCUGCUGCUCCCCUGCCUGCAGCGUUCCUCCCCAGGUCUCCCCCUGGCUUUCUCACCUGCUUCCGGUUUUGCUCAGACCGCGCUGCCUCAGUGUGCCCUUCUGUCACCAUCCUGUGUAUAGUCGGAAACCCCUGCUCCCUUUCCCUGCACUGAAUCUUCCGUGUGCUCCUUUUCUCCAUGGCAUUUGUCAGCUUUGGCUAUCCUGUCUAAUUUGCCUAUAUAUUUAUUUUUUAUUUUGCUGCCUGUUGUCUCAUUCCCCCAACUCCCCAAUGGCAGGGAGUUCUGUUUUGGUCACUGCUGAAUCCCUGGUGACCCGAGCAGUGAUGACGCAGAGUUGUUGUGAUAUUUGUGGAAUGAAUGAAUGCAGGAUUUUUUGUUUAACCUUCACUUGGCACAAAUGCUGUGGUUCUGUUCACCACUACCCCCUUGAAUUAAUGAAAGCCGUGGGCCCAUCCCUGUGCUGAGUGGAGCUGGGGACACAGUGGGGGCUAGGACAGACUGUGUCCCUGCCUUGUGGAACUCACAGUUCCACAGGUGACAGAGCCUGCCCACGGCUUCAACCUGCCUCCAGCCCUACCUGCUCCAAGCAGACAGAUGGGGCUAGUGUAGGGAGCGUGUUUAAAAGAAAAAAGAAAAAAAAAGUCUCCCUCUUUUUUUUUUUUUUUUCCGAAGUACCCAGACCUUUUCAGGA
rnacentral:sRNA from 1 species